AUCAUUACACAAAUAUGAAGGCGGGGGGCUGGCCCUCCCGGGGUGGCCAGCCUUGCUGAAUUAUUCCACCCGUGUCUUUUGGGUACUUCUUGUUUCCUUGGGGGGCUCGCCCACCACAAGGACCAACCCAUAAACCUUUUUGCAAUGGCAAUCACCGUCAGUAACAAUGUAAUAAUUUACAACUUUCAACAACGGAUCUCUUGGUUCUGGCAUCGAUGAAAAACGCAGCGAAAUGCGAUAAGUAGUGUGAAUUGCAGAAUUCAGUGAAUCAUCCAAUCUUUGAACGCACAUUGCGCCCUUUGGUAUUCCAAAGGGCAUGCCUGUUCGAGCGUCAUUUGUACCCUCAAGCUUUGCUUGGUGUUGGGCGUCUUUUUGUCUCCCCUUGCGGGAGACUCGCCUUAAAGUCAUUGGCAGCCGGCCUACUGGUUUCGGAGCGCAGCACAAGUCGCGCUCUCUUCCAGCCCCAAGGUCUAGCAUCCACCAAGCCUUUUUUUUCAACUUUUGACCUCGGAUCAGGUAGGGAAACC
rnacentral:rRNA from 1 species